AAGGAACUUGGUGGUGGGGGCAAGGGGCAGCCACCCAGCAACACCCCCACUAGGAGCACUUCUGUCCUCUAAAGGCAGUGAGUUUGGGGAUAAUUCAUUGGACGAAGGGAAAAGACAAGGCUGCUACAAGAAGAGGGAUGAGGGCAACCCCGGUGCCUCCCGCCACUGCAGUGGUAUGCAGGGGAAAGCAACAAUGAAAAGAGGUACGUGCCAUUGGGUUUCCCGAAAACCAGGGGUCUCGAUGUUGACAACAGAGGAUUCCUCAACGGCGACUGGCUGUCUCGGUCAUUUUCAGUGAGUGCUUAAAAAAAGAUGAGAGGUUUAAAUUAAACAAAUUUUCUGCCUUACCAAAACUGACAGUAAUGUAGCUUUCUAGGCAACUAAAGGCUAAGCCAGCAGCUCCCAGCCUGUGGACUGUAGUUUUUGCAGGGUCCACGAACCCAAAUGCACACCAAGCACUGUCUGGAUACCCAGAGAAAAUAAAAUGUCCCCCACACCAAGUGUGCCUUUUCCCAGAGGUAUGUGGAGACUGUUGUAAUUAACAACAUACACAUUCAUAGAAGGACACUGCUAAUACUGAUUUGGAAAAAAUGUAUGUAGUGAAAUCCCAUUUUGUAAAACUGAAAUAUAUCCAUGCACACAUAAAGUACUCUAGAAAUAAAUACACUAAAUCUCUG
rnacentral:lncRNA from 1 species